rnacentral:lncRNA from 1 species
GUCAAAUACUGCAGAGCUGUGUUGUAGAAGAGCUGAGCAGGUUUAUAAUGAAUAAUGGUGUUUACAUAAUAUGAUGGGUUUGGGCUGGAAGCUGAGGGCUACAGAGAUCAACAGUAAGUACUGACCCUACCACCCUUGAAAGAGUUUUAUUUUUUUGUUGACCAGUGUGGGAAGCUCAGUGUCCAUACGGGCUUAACUCCAAAUCUGCAUUAAUCUGCUCUCAUUAUCCUACUUCUUUCCUGAUUAGCUGGAGGUCAAAGAAUCUGGACUUGUACAUGCUGACUGUCUGACCUGCUGAGGUGGAUGGCAGAUACAGGGCAGCCUUCAGACCUGGAUGAGACAGAUUUUCAUUCUUAUUGCCUACGCUAGAGUGCAGUGGCUAUCUUGGCUCACCUCAACCUCUGACUCAUAGGUUCAAGGGAUUCUCCUGCCUCAGCCUCCCAGGUAGCUGGGAUUACAGUUAUUCAUUGAUUGAUGUAGAAAUACAACAGCUGUACUAUGUGGCACGCAUCAUUGCUG